rnacentral:misc_RNA from 1 species
UUUUUUUUUUCUCCUGUGGCUAGGUUUAGUGUAGGCCUGCAUAUUGAUCAGUUAAACUUGAUAUGGGAUUUGUUCAGAACUUGCCGUUCCAGCAUCAUUUCUUUUCUAAUAUUUACAGCUUUAUGAUCGGUUUCCAAGAAAUCUUCUCUCACCAAAAUGUCACACUUGACUCGAUUUAUGAAUGCUAAAAUAAGCUUUCCAGGAGGCUUAAACACAAGCACAAAAUGGUCUAAUGAACAGUUCUUGUAUCUAUUCCCACUGUUUAAAGCACUCUCUGCUCUCUUAUCACUUGGUUAUUUCACUUCCUUGUUUGUUGACAUGCUUUCAUUUCUUCAACCUCUAUUUCUCCUUCACUUAGGAUAGGAUGAGAAGGGGCCGAAAAAUCAACCUGCAUGUUUGGCAAUGCACUCCAAGCAGCAGCUUAAUAAUAAAACCAAUUCCAAUGACCUAUGCAAUGAUUAGCGUUUCACUUCUCACAACUAACAUAACCACUUCCAUGCCUGCCCAUACCAGGAACAGAAGUAAUAAGGCAAUACGAGCCCUCACAAUCAGACAUCAGAUGCAUUCAUAUCAAAAGGAAAACACAUAUUACCAUAUGGUUUGUGGUUCUUACUAGUGGGAUCAUUCAUCUGGAUUUUGUUCUAAGCCCUCAAAACGGGUGGGGGGUGGGAGAAGUUGUUCUUCUUUAUCAAAUGCCCUAAUGCACAUCUUUGUUAAGGGAAAGUCAACUACCACACAAGGUGCCCAGCAAAUACCUGGCAAGUGAAUGUUCAGAUUCGUAUUGUGAAUAAGAUAAUAUUCCAAAUAAUUUGGUCUAUGCUAAUUUAUAUCCAGCUUUGUAAUUCAUGCAUAAUAAACAAUAAACAGCUAUAUCUACAAUUCUGCCAAUGAUGACAUAUUCAUUACUUGUAGAGAGGCAUCAUAUGUUGUGAAUAAUGACAGCAUGUAUCAACUAUUGGGUAAGUGUACAACACGCAUGUGCCAACAUCUCACAUGGCUUCAUUAUCAGGUACCCAUGGGAUUGCAGUUUCUGCGACAUCAAGGCCUGAUGAAAAAUAUAAUGGCAGGCUAACAUACUUUGGACAUGAGCUUCUUGAGGAAUACAUGUCUUGAAUUAUUGAUCCAACUACACAGUCCCGUGGCUUGAAAUCCUUAUAGAAGCACAAACGGAGUUCCUCUACUGCAUCUCUUGAACAAAUCAAUGAUGGGGUUGUAUGGAAAGCAUUCUCAAUGGUAGAGACAAUACCUCCAAGAGGAUAUUUUUCAGUAUUUGAAGGAAUAUAUCCUGCUUCAUUCAGCACUUUCUAGUAUCAGACAUUACAUAAAACAAUCAGUGGUCAGUUGGAUAAACCAGAUACUUUUCCAGUGCAAAUACCCAAAAAUACUACAGCAUGAAAUAACUACUCUAAGCACAUGAAGAUGACGUAAGAUGGUAAAUUCAACUUACAUAAUCCAAGUACUCCAGUCAGAGAUUGACUGUUUAUAGAAUAGAUUUGCAACUACAAUGCAAUAAGUAAAUCAAGGAAAGUUGGCAACAAAAUUUGUUACCAGUAAAAACCUAAAACGGUCUAGGCACUGAUUUGAUUUGCUAUGUAGAUAAAACUUUAUAGUUACGGUGUGAGGGAGUAUCUAAGAUCCUGACUUUGCAAAUAUAAAUACUGAUGGACAAAUUUAACUUCUUAGGAGCACUACAACAUAAUAUGUACUUUCUUUAAUCUUGCACUUUGUUUUCUGCUAUGAUGCCCAAGAAUCUAUAUUAUGUUGCGAGUGAAAAUUUCUCUGUAAAAUGAAUCAUAUGUUUGCAGGUAAUGGGCAAAAUUGGAUUCCGAAAACUUACCGUGACAUUAUACUUAAAGAAUAAAUUAAGGACUGUUACAAAAUAACUGUAUUCGUCUUGGACAACUGGAGAGGAGCAAGUCCCAUGCUUCUCCCACUGCCAAGUGCCAAUGCGCAUUUCCCCAUUCAGCCAUCAUCAAGAAUGGAAAGCAAAGCACAUUAGUUUUGAAUCAUGGUAUGACUUAGCAACAAACAGUGACUAUAUUUGAUAACCACCUCAUGUGCCCAAAAUGAUCCUUUUGUACCAUGACAAGUUGAUGAUGAACCACAACUUAAGGAUGGCCAAUACUUUUGUAGACCAUCAAGCAACGUUGAGAUCUGCAUGUUGCAAUUUUCUUAGGCUCAAUACAUGGCAAGAACUUAUAUGAUAACUAAAUCUAAUACAUAAAACAAGACAGAACUAUCAUUCAAAAUAUUUAGAGCAACUGAUAUGCAUUGCACAAUCACUUAAAUGUUUUCUAUUCUCAAUAGCAAUGUGCAUAAAAUAGAAUAUCACCAUAAUUUUUCAAUGGUUAUAUCACUUCUCAGUCACACCAUGCACCUUCAAGAUGUUUCUUUCUAAAACUAUUUUCUAAUAUCUAAAACUCUACCAGAUAGGCAUAGUCCUACGUACAUGUAUCAGAUAAGAAUGAAAAAGUUGUAAUACAAAAUAAAGUACAAUAAAAACGUGCCUCUUUUUCAUCAAAAUCCGAUCGCCUACAACAGGCAGGCCAGGUUCCAUCAUUAUAGUCAGGCCACAGCCCAUGGAUUGUAAAUUCAGUUGGAGCAUUUGAACUGGGAAAUAAAAAACAAUAGAGAUAUUAAUUCCAGGCUUCCGAUGCAUGAUUUGCACUGCAAAAUAUACAUAAACUAUGACACCACCUUGUUAAAUAAUCAACUAAGAAUAUUGAUAAUGUAGAAAGAGAAUGAUAGUAAUAAUCAAAACAAGUGCAUCCCAGGCCAUAUAGGAACACAUGGACCAAAAUUACCAAUUAUUUUCAAGAAGUGCAUGCAUUGAAACAAAAGCGGAAGUGUAUAAACCUUUCUAUUUUAAAUGAUAGUAACAAAUCUUUUCAAACGUUGCACGUGCAUUAAAUGUUAUCCCUUAUUCACUGAAAGUAAUUGAGUGUUCCUCUGGUUAUAUAUGUAUAUAUAUGUACACACACACACUGAAUAAAAUAGCAAAAGGCAAAAGCAAAUUUUGAAGGGCUAAAUUAUGAAGUACAACCAUUCCAAUUGACAAGUUCUUGACUAGGCAAGUAGUCAAAAUUUCAGAAUUGGAAAAGGUAAUCCUUUGGCCCCAGGUAAUAAUUGACCCUAAAAAGAAAAAAGAACAAGCUUUACUUCUUAUAUUCAUACAUUUUCUUCUUUCUAUCAAAAGGCGGAGCCAAAACUAAACUAAUACCUGAAAUCAACAUAAUCAAUGCGAAUUAGAAACCAAUAAGAUGUGCUUGCAUUUUAUCCCUCUUUAUUUUGAAAAAUAUACCAUAUAGCCAUCUAUUUUUAAGUCUAUAGUUCAGUCAAAGGAAAGAUAAUAGUUAUAAAUAGGAUUAAAUAGUCAAUGAAUUUAAAUUACAGGACUAAAUUAUAGUCGUAUUCUUCUUGCUUAUACUGAUACCUAUACCCAAGUUGUAUGAUAUGGUCUGGUGGAUUGUCUAGGCAAUAAUUUCUCAUUCAAUCAAGUUACAAGGCUCCAUAAUUGAGUAGAAAAAAAAAUUACUUUUAAAUUAACGAAGCCCUAAACAGUCAACAGAAUAAAAAAAUUAAAUAAAUAAAUAAAGAUUUAUGACCAAAUUGAAACUAAGUGCACAGUCUAGCGACCAUGAAUAUAAUUCACCAUGCAAUCCAUCAUUUCAAAGAACCAAACAGCAGCAAAGGUAAGGAUAAGUGCAACGAAAUAAACAUAUGGACAAUGGAUAUGACUGCAAUUUAAUAUUGGUAGAUUGAUGAAGCAGUUCAUGAACAAAGGAUGCUGUACAGAAAUGACAGUGUAUAUGUAAUUUAAAUUUAAUAUCACAAACCUUUUUAAUAUUCUAUAGUCACACUCGAUAUCAUCAAAUAAGACAUAUUGCUCUUCCCAUAAUUUUGCUCAUGAUCACCCUGCCUAGCCAUUGUUCACAUACAUGAUACAUGUAGAAACAUCCAGGAAAUACUAGUAUCAUGCAUAUGACCACUUCAUUCUAGAAGUGCUCAGUCUAUAAAGCCUAUUUUGAAUGAUUAUUCCUUCUCUUCCAAAAAAAUAAACUUGAUUCUAACUAAUGCAAAUGCAUUAAGGUAACAACUUGAAUAUUCAGAUGUUGAUUAUAGCAUCAUUAUCAACAUCUUCUGUUUAUUAUUUCAUUGCAAGUGUUUCUGUGAAUAUUAUCUGAGAAAUGAAGGUAAAGAACUAAUAUGCCUCUAUAAAUUUAAAGAAGUAAUAAUAAAAAUUGAUUUUCAAUUUAUAAAAAAGAGGGGGCUUUCUUGAAAGCAAUUUAGAAGGGGAAAGAAACAUGAGACAUGAAAGUUGGGGCAUGUAGAAUAGUACCGGUAACAGCAUACACUGCACACA